AGGUGUGAGGCAGCCAAGAUUGUACAGAGACAAGAAUGCAAUAUUAAGGUCUUCAAGAACACAGACCUUCAAUCCAAACUUGGAGGAGAGCCUUCACUCCAAUGAAGUGUUCAUCUUUGCUAGCAAAUGGAUGAUGGGUCACUUCAGAUMCAUUGUGAGCUUCCUUGGAAGUUGGAGCAUCUGAUGCUGAAAGACCUCAGGAGGAUCAUAUGAGAGUCUACAAAAGAAGCCAGAAGAAACGUCUCAUCUCACAACUCCCCUUCUCCAUGUGCAAAGAUGAGAAGCUUUUUGGCUGUAUCUGACCUGAACAAGGCUUCAGGAAAACAGCAAGCAUUCUGCUGAUAUGACAAGGGAAUGAAGAAAGCAACUGAUUAACAUGAAAUAUGGACAUUUUUUGUAUAAGCAAAAUGAUGCUUCUGGCUCUUCUGAAAAACAGCUUGCACUGACUGCAGUAUGUGCUCUGAGACCCUGCAGUACCUUAAAAAGUGACUGUUGAGUGUCCAAACUGUGCUGGAGACCUGAAGAAGUAGUCAAAUAGCGAGUCUGAAUUGGAACAUUAUCAAGAGAGAAUUCAAUGACCUGUAUUUACAGCGUGCGGAGUAAUUUAUUGUAGUACAUCAUGUUCACGUUCCUGGGUCUGUGCAGGGAAAGAUGAAUUCUAAAGGCAAAGGGAGGCCUUGCACAAGUAUGGGAAGUGAGUGUCCCUCCUGCUCUGUUUGGCAGUUUGCGAGUCCAAAAGAGAAACCUAUAAAGGAGUUAUCCUCAGAUGCCUAAUUAACUGUUUUGGCAGGAUUUGCACAUCUAAUUUUAAACUCUUCUGAAAAUCCUGGUAGCUGUGGGAUUUCUGCAAUGAAGAAUUCUGCCAGCACUAAAGAAGGUGUUAGGCCUUUUUCACUUGAGACUUUUUUUAAGURCAUGUAACAAAAUGUUUUAAAGCGGUGCUUCCCAUGAACAGUAAUUUGGAGGUUAUACUUAAUGCCCUUUCAGAAAGGUCAGCUUCAAAACUCACUUGCAAGAUGAAAGAUGGGGUCAAAAUCAAAUAUUAAACAAAUAGUACUAAAGAGAAGUUCACCUCUCUCUUCUUUGAGUUCCUUUAAAACUCUUGGGUCAGUAUUGUCUUGYGCUUGUGACUUUGCGCUCUUUUGCUGCCUGUGUUAUAGCCUCUUUCACUGGCCCUUGAAAUUCAGAUUGGACUUCCUAACCUGCUAGCUCCCACUGUCUUGAAAAUAAAAGAAUUUUAGCA